CUGAUUCUCUUUUCAGACUCAGCCCACCUGCACCCAGGUGAAAUAAACAGCUUUAUUGCUCACACAAAGCCUGUUUGGUGGUCUCUUCACAGGGACGCGCAUGAAAUUUGGUGCUGUGACUCAGACUGGGGGACCUCCCUUGGGAGAUCAAUCCCCUGUCCUCCUGCUCUUUGCUCCGUGAGAAAGAUCCACCUACAACCUCUGGUCCUCAGACCAACCAGCCGAAGGAACAUCUCACCAAUUUUAAAUCUGGUUUUCUUACAAUCUCUGUGGAAACUAUUUCAUCUGCAAACUGAGUUUGUGUUCUGGGCAUGCUGGCCACUUCUGGUGAGUUUUUUCCAUUCUGCUCCAUUUUAUU